GACGAACGCUGGCGGCGUGCUUAACACAUGCAAGUCGAACGGAAAGGCCCUGCUUUUGUGGGGUGCUCGAGUGGCGAACGGGUGAGUAACACGUGAGUAACCUGCCCUUGACUUUGGGAUAACUUCAGGAAACUGGGGCUAAUACCGGAUAGGAGCUCCUGCUGCAUGGUGGGGGUUGGAAAGUUUCGGCGGUUGGGGAUGGACUCGCGGCUUAUCAGCUUGUUGGUGGGGUAGUGGCUUACCAAGGCUUUGACGGGUAGCCGGCCUGAGAGGGUGACCGGCCACAUGGGGACUGAGAUACGGCCCAGACUCCUACGGGAGGCAGCAGUGGGGAAUAUUGCAAAAUGGGCGGAAGCCUGAUGCAGCAACGCCGCGUGCGGGAUGACGGCCUUCGGGUUGUAAACCGCUUUCGACUGUGACGAAGCGUGAGUGACGGUAAUGGGUAAAGAAGCACCGGCUAACUACGUG
rnacentral:rRNA from 1 species